GUCCACGCCGUAAACGAUGGGCACUAGGUGCUUGGGGAGCGACCCCUGAGUGCCGGCGCUAACGCAUUAAGUGCCCGCCUGGGGAGUACGGCCGCAAGGCUGAAACUCAAAGGAAUUGACGGGGCCCGCACAAGCGGUGGAGCAUGUGGUUUAAUUCGACGCAACGCGAAGAACCUUACCUGGGCUUGACAUGGCGCGGAAAGCCCCUGGAAACAGGGGCCCCUCUUCGGAGCCGCGUCACAGGUGCUGCAUGGCUGUCGU
rnacentral:rRNA from 1 species